CGCCGAUACGAUCCCAAUUUGCAAAUGCUCCAUCUGAUCCAAAGCUAAGGUCCUUAAUGCUCCUUGUUGAUUUUAUGGGACCAGGUGUUCCUUUUAAGCAUGGUGAUCUUUGUGAGAAGCCAGGAACACUUCCCAUUCUACUUGUGACCGUGGCAUCGCUGUUGAUAGAAGAUAUGGGAGAUAGUUUGUACUUGUAGGGAGAAUUGAUCUCAGAGUAGACAUCAGUAUUGAUUGGUCUUAGCCUUGGUGAACUCAUUGAUCUUGCUUUUGCUUUUGCAGAUUCCGUGGCUGCCAUGUAAGUUGGAAUUGAAGGAGAUCCCAUGAAAGUAUUGUCAUGAUCCCCAGUUGAUUUCUGUCUUCUGUGGUGAAAUGAUCUUCUUGGAACAUAUACUGGCGAAACCAAUUCUUGAUCUGUAUGGUAUUGUCUUAGAGAAGGCUUUGGCUUCAUUUCUUUUCUCUCGAAUUCUUCUCUGUUUCUUGCUGAGAAAAGCGUGUCCACGUUUUUAAGGUCAUCUCUUUUAGCCAGCUGAGCAUCUACCCAUUGUUCUAACCAGUAUCGCCUUCUUCCAUUUAUGUCUGAUUCUGUUGAUCUUCGAUGGCUUAACCAGUAUUCUCUUAUACGUUCUCUCUUGAUCGCAGCCUCCCUUUUGCUUGAGAACAUCUUGUUUGCUUCUUCCUUAGAUAAAUAUCGAUUGUCCCACCUUUUCUGGCUGUUUAGAUCAAUCUUGAUAUCUUUCUCUCCGAGAUCCAUCAACGUUUUCUCUUGACAAUGUACUGUGCUUUUCACCUGAUUAUCACAUCUCUUUGCACAUACUUCAGAUUGAAUGUUUACAAUUGACUGCAAGGACCUAAGUGUAGCAAUAGCCUGACGUCGAACAGCCCUACCACGAACAAUAGCUUGAAGCCUCACUAGUCCCUUUAGUGCUCUCAAAGCUUUCCUUGCAAG
rnacentral:misc_RNA from 1 species